UGCAAGUCGAACGGGAACCUCUUAAAAGGAGGUUUUUAGUGGCGAACGGGUGAGUAACACGUAAGUAACCUGCCUUUAAGACGAGGAUAACAACCGGAAGGUUACUAAGACUGGAUAGGAAACAAAAAGGCAUCUUUUUGUUUUUAAAAGACCUUCUUACGAAGGUAUGCUUAAAGAGGGGCUUGCGCCACAUUAGUUAGUUGGUAGAGUAAAAGCCUACCAAGACGAUGAUGUGUAGCUGGACUGAGAGGUUGAACAGCCACAUUGGGACUGAGACACGGCCCAAACUCCUACGGGAGGCAGCAGUAGGGAAUUUUCGGCAAUGGAGGAAACUCUGACCGAGCAACGCCGCGUGAACGAUGAAGUAUUUCGGUAUGUAAAGUUCUUUUAUUGAAGAAGAAAAAGUAGUGGAAAAACUAUAUUGACGUUAUUCAAUGAAUAAGCCCCGGCUAACUAUGUGCCAGCAGCCGCGGUAAGACAUAGGGGGCGAGCGUUAUCCGGAAUUAUUGGGCGUAAAGGGUGCGUAGGCUGUUAGAUAAGUCUAUAAUUUAAUUUCAGUGCUUAACGCUGUCUUGUUAUAGAAACUGUCUUGACUAGAGUGAGAUAGAGGCAAGCGGAAUUCCAUGUGUAGCGGUAAAAUGUGUAAAUAUAUGGAGGAACACCAGAAGCGUAGGCGGCUUGCUGGGUCUUUACUGACGCUGAGGCACGAAAGCGUGGGUAGCAAACAGGAUUAGAUACCCUGGUAGUCCACGCCGUAAACGAUGAGUACUAAGUGUCGGGGUAAAACUCGGUACUGAAGUUAACACAUUAAGUACUCCGCCUGAGUAGUACGUACGCAAGUAUGAAACUUAAAGGAAUUGACGGGACUCCGCACAAGCGGUGGAUCAUGUUGUUUAAUUCGAAGAUACACGAAAAAUCUUACCAGGUCUUGACAUACUCUGCAAAGCUAUAGAAAUAUAGUGGAGGUUAUCAGGGAUACAGGUGGUGCAUGGUUGUCGUCAGUUCGUGUCGUGAGAUGUUAGGUUAAGUCCUAAAACGAACGCAACCCUUGUCGUUAAUUGCCAGCACAUAAUGGUGGGGACUUUAACGAGACUGCCAAUUAAACAUUGGAGGAAGGUGAGGAUUACGUCAAAUCAUCAUGCCCCUUAUGAUCUGGGCUACAAACGUGAUACAAUGGCUGUGACAAAGAGUAGCUGAAACGCGAGUUUUUAGCCAAUCUCAAAAAAGCAGUCUCAGUUCGGAUUGAAGUCUGUAACUCGACUUCAUGAAGUUGGAAUCGCUAGUAAUCGCGAAUCAGCAUGUCGCGGUGAAUACGUUCUCGGGGUUUGUACACACCGCCCGUCAAACCACGAAAGUUAGCAAUGCCCGAAAGCAGUAGCUUAACUUCGCAAGAAGAGGGAACCUAA
rnacentral:rRNA from 1 species